CCUACGGGCGGCAGCAGUGGGGAAUAUUGGACAAUGGGGGGAACCCUGAUCCAGCCAUGCCGCGUAUGUGAAGAAGGCCCUCGGGUUGUAAAGCACUUUCAGUGAGGAAGAACGCCUGGUGGUUAAUACCCAUCAGGAAAGACAUCACUCACAGAAGAAGCACCGGCUAACUCCGUGCCAGCAGCCGCGGUAAUACGGAGGGUGCGAGCGUUAAUCGGAAUUACUGGGCGUAAAGCGCGCGUAGGUGGCUUGAUAAGCCGGUUGUGAAAGCCCCGGGCUCAACCUGGGAACGGCAUCCGGAACUGUCAAGCUAGAGUGCAGGAGAGGAAGGUAGCAUUCCCGGUGUAGCGGUGAAAUGCGUAGAGAUCGGGAGGAAUACCAGUGGCGAAGGCGGCCUUCUGGACUGACACUGACACUGAGGUGCGAAAGCGUGGGUAGCAAACAGGAUUAGAUACCCGGGUAGUC
rnacentral:rRNA from 1 species